CCUACGGGAGGCAGCAGUGAGGAAUAUUGGUCAAUGGCCGGAAGGCUGAACCAGCCAUGCCGCGUGAAGGUCAGUGCCCUUUGGGCUUUAAACUUCUUUUGUGCGGGAGCAAUAAUGGUCACUUGUGGCCAGACGAGAGUACCGUACGAAUAAUCAUCGGCUAACUCCGUACCAGCAGCCGCGGUCAUACGGGGGGUGGAAGCGUUAUCCGGAUUUAUUGGGGUUGAAGGGUGCGUAGGCUGUUGGGUAAGUCAGCGGGGCAAUGCCCCCGGUCAACGGGUUGAAGUGCAAUUGAUACUGGCUGGCUGGAGUGUGGGAGAGGUGGGAGGAAUGUGUGGUGUAGCGGUGAAAUGCGUAGAUAUCA
rnacentral:rRNA from 1 species